rnacentral:rRNA from 1 species
UACGUAGGAGACAAGCGUUGUCCGGAAUUACUGGGUGUAAAGCGCGUGUAGGUGGUAGGCCAAGUCUGCUGUGAAAUCGCCCGGCUUAACUGGGCGCGGUCGGUGGAAACUGGUCAACUGGAGGACGGUAGAGGCGAGUGGAAUUCCCGGUGUAGUGGUGAAAUGCGCAGAUAUCAGGAGGAACACCGAUGGCGAAGGCAGGUCUCUGGGCCGAUACUGACGCUGGGGAGCGAAAGCGUGGGGAGCGAACAGG